AUUGAACGCUGGCGGCAGGCCUAACACAUGCAAGUCGAACGAGUGGCGGACGGGUGAGUAAUGUCUGGGAAACUGCCCGAUGGAGGGGGAUAACUACUGGAAACGGUAGCUAAUACCGCAUACCAUCGGAUGUGCCCAGAUGGGAUUAGCUAGGAGGUGGGGUAACGGCUCACCUAGGCGACGAUCCCUAGCUGGUCUGAGAGGAUGACGAGACACACUGGAACUGAGACACGGUCCAGACUCGGACGGGAGGCAGCAGUGGGGAAUAUUGCACAAUGGGCGCAAGCCGGAGGCAGCCAGGCGGGGGGUAUGAGGAAGGCCUUCGGGUGGUAAAGUACGUUCAGCGGGGAGGCGUGACUCGCAGAAGAAGCACCGGCUAACGCCGUGCCAGCAGCCGCGGUAAUAC
rnacentral:rRNA from 1 species